rnacentral:rRNA from 1 species
AGGACGAACGCUGGCGGCGUGCUUAACACAUGCAAGUCGAGCGGUAAGGCCCUUUCGGGGGUACACGAGCGGCGAACGGGUGAGUAACACGUGGGUGACCUGCCCCCUACUCUGGGAUAAGCCUGGGAAACUGGGUCUAAUACCGGAUAUGACUCAAGGCUGCAUGGUUUUGGGUGGAAAGCUUUUGUGGUGGGGGAUGGGCCCGCGGCCUAUCAGCUUGUUGGUGGGGUGAUGGCCUACCAAGGCUUCGACGGGUA